rnacentral:piRNA from 1 species
UCUUUAUGGUAGUCACUGCCUAGUCCUU